rnacentral:rRNA from 1 species
UCAAGGAAUGUGAACAGGAUAGAUCCCUGGUAGUCCACGCCGUAAACGAUGAGUACUAAGUGUCGGGUUAAACCGGUACUGAAGUUAACACAUUAAGUACUCCGCCUGAGUAGUACGUACGCAAGUAUGAAACUUAAAGGAAUUGACGGGACUCCGCACAAGCGGUGGAUCAUGUUGUUUAAUUCGAAGAUACCCGAAAAACCUUACCAGGUCUUGACAUGUUUUUGCGAAACGGUAGUAAUAUCGUGGAGGUUAUCAGAAACACAGGUGGUGCAUGGUUGUCGUCAGCUCGUGUCGUGAGAUGUUAGGUUAAGUCCUAAAACGAGCGAAACCCUUAUCGUUAGUUGCCAGCACGUUAUGGUGGGGACUUUAACGAGACUGCCAGUGAUAAAUUGGAGGAAGGUGAGGAUCACGUCAAAUCAGCAUGCCCCUUAUGACCAGGGCGACAAACGUGAUACAAUGGCUGUCACAAGGGGAAA